UAAAAGGGAGUGCGCCAGAAGGGAUUUUUAGGUCAUUAGAGAAAGAGAAGUCAAGGGCAAGAGGAGGAAAAGGAGGAGCAUUUAGAAGAAGGAGAAAUCAGAAGCAACAGCAGAAGAAGAAGCCACAAGGUGAGCAGCAGCAGUACGAGCUGCUGGGGCAGAGCAGAAAGGACCAUGACAGAGCAGAGACUGAGAAGCCAGCAGAGAAAAAGGAUGGAUACGAAAAGGAUGGGAGGAGAGAACUCAACAGGAAACGUCAGUGAUUUCGUUUGUUGUUUGGCACACAUUCUGUUAAACGUAGGAUGUUGAAACUGUGUGAAGGAGAUGAGAGGAUCAAGCCCAUACAUUAGGCUAGAUUGCACACUGUACAGCUUAUACCUGGUGAGCUUUUCUGAAGUCGAGUUCCUUCUAAGUGAUCAAUUCAUUUUCUUCUAGUUACAGUAGUGAGACCCAAGAUUGAAGACAAACUAUUUUAAAGCUGCUCUUAACAGCAACUUCUGUAGAAAAAAUGUUGCUGAAAUAAUAUGGAUGAGGAUUCUUGGAUUGCUUUCUGGAGAUUCUUAACAAGCGAUGGACGGCUAUUUCUUUUCCCAUGAAUAAAAAAUAAUGCAUAAGAGAAUGUGAUUUCUUUGCUUUGCAGAUGUUCUCUAGAUACCUGUACAACAUGCCUAAAGGGUCUUUCUACAAAUGGGAAUCACAACAGCCUGAUUCACAUACUUGUACAAGUUCUUUACAUCUUCCUAAUAGAGUAUUUUUUAGAUAUAUUAAACCUCAAGAGGGAGGGAGGAUAUAAAUACAUGUUAUAUAUGUCUGAAAUGGAAAGAAGAUCAUGUACACAUAUAGAAUGGCUGCAGAAAAACCAAGAUAGGUUCUAAUAAUAUUUCUGCACAUAGUAAGGAGAAGAGCUAAUAAUAGUUUCCCACCUUAUUUUCAGCAGAAUGACAUACAGCUAGUAAAGUCUGGGAAAGAUAUUUUUGGUUGAUUGUUCAAGUGGCAGUGUAUCUGCUCUGUAUAACCACCUUGUAAAAUAUUUAUACAGAGAAUUGAUUACUAAUUUUGUGUCUGAGAUUACUAUGGAAAAGUUCACAAAUGAUAGAUAAGGGAUUGUUCUGCUUGAUGUAUCAGGGAGACUAUAACCUUUCCCAGACCUAUACAUUGGUUUCCAAAUUUAAAACAGUCUCCUUACACAAUAACUCUUACUGCUGGGAUACCAUCCUGUUAAGUGAAGGUUGUGAAUGCCUUGACAAAAUCAGUAUGCAAUGUAGUUGUAGCUGGGUCACUCCUAGGAUAUUAGAGAGGCAAGGUGGGUGAAGUAAUAUCUU